ensembl:snRNA U6 U6 spliceosomal RNA
UUGCUUUGGCAGCACACUUACUAAAACUGGAACAACAGAGAGAAGAUUAGCACGGUCCCCAGGCAGGGAUGACAUGCAGAUUCGUGAAGCAUUCCAUAUUUUG